UACAGAGGUCCCAAGCGUUGUUCGGAUUCAUUGGGCGUAAAGGGUGCGUAGGCGGUUGCCUAAGUCAGGGGUGAAAUCUCGAGGCUCAACCUCGAAACUGCACUUGAUACUGGGUGACUUGAGUACUGGAGGGGAGACUGGAAUUUACGGUGUAGCAGUGAAAUGCGUAGAUAUCGUAAGGAAGACCAGUGGCGAAGGCGAGUCUCUGGACAGUUACUGACGCUGAGGCACGAAGGCUAGGGGAGCAAACGGG
rnacentral:rRNA from 1 species